AUGCCCGGUGAUUAUGAAAAGACGCGUUAUUCUGAGGAGUCUAACCGGCUUGCCAGUUGAAUCUCUCUCCUGUCUUUUCCUUCCUCCCUCCUUCUCAGUCUUCUCCUCCUCCCCUCUCUCUCCUAGCCCCUCCUCCUCUGCUUAUUCCCUUCUCCAACUGGCGACUGGUCCGUUGACUGCGAUUAUGAGAUAUGAGGGCAU